UUGAACUGAGGGAUAGAAAAUUUUCAAAUGAAAUUUUCAUUUUCUUGGUUUGGCAACUCUGGCGAUAAAUCAGAACCACUCUAGCAACCAAACGAGCUGUCAACAUCUUGUUUCGAGAAAAUACUCCCGGCGUUUUCGGAAACAGUCAAGUGCUCCUCAAGCCCUAAAUAAAUUGCUUCAACAAACUGAAUGGAACCACAGGAUCGUCGUAGAUACCUCGGAAAAGAUCAUCAAGCACUUAACCUCGCACCUAACUCGCAUCUAAUCGGUCAUCCGGCUAUCUACAUUCAACGAUAUAAAUUCCUGCUUUCUUUACGUUGAAGCUGUUAUAAGAUUCCGUCCAACAGAGAAUACAAGUUUCGUGACGAAUUCCCGUCGGUACGCCGAAAAACAAAUCCCACCGGAUGUUGACAGCCGACACCUCGAAACGCUUCCUUGAUGAGGCACAGAUUUAAAGAAAAGUAACAGAAAAGAAUGUUGCUUGAUUUUUUAUUUGAUUAAAAAGGAUAAUAAAAUAAAAACGCAAAA